UUGUACCAAGAACAAAUGUCUGUAAUCAUAAGAUAUGUGUAUUCACCUUCAAGUCAUGUUUGCACACAAGAAACAUUUUUAGGAUUUUUAGAUGUAAAUGAUACGACUACGCAAGAACUGUUUGAAGUGCUAGACAAUGAAUUAAAGCUUCUUGAUCUUGAUAUAGAUGAUGUGAGAGGACAAGAUUAUGAUAGCGGGUCAAAUAUGAAAGGAACACAUCAUGGAGUCCAAAGGAGACUUUUGAAUGUAAAUCCUAGAGCUUUCUAUUCUGCUCGUGGUUGUCAUAGCCUUAAUUUGACACUUCGUGAUGUUUCGCCAAAACUUGUGGUAAAGCUGAAGACUUCUUGUGAUAAUCUUGAGGUUGCUCUUACAAAGGAUGGAAAAUCUGGCAUUGAUGCCAAUGAACUGUAUGUGGAGUUGAUGUUUCUUCAAAAUUUCAUUCGAAAAGAAAAUAUUGGGUCCGUUGAAAUUUUAAAGUUCUUAAAGCGCAUGAUUGUUUUCCCAAUGCAAGUAUUGCAUAUAGAGUUCUUCUGA
rnacentral:rRNA from 1 species